GCGUGCAGGAAGAAGGCCUUCGGGUUGUAAACUGCUUUUGUACGGAACGAAAAGGUCUGCCCUAAUACGGCGGGCUCAUGACGGUACCGUAAGAAUAAGCACCGGCUAACUACGUGCCAGCAGCCGCGGUAAUACGUAGGGUGCGAGCGUUAAUCGGAAUUACUGGGCGUAAAGCGUGCGCAGGCGGUUAUAUAAGACAGUUGUGAAAUCCCCGGGCUCAACCUGGGAAUUGCAUCUGUGACUGUAUAGCUAGAGUACGGUAGAGGGGGAUGGAAUUCCGCGUGUAGCAGUGAAAUGCGU
rnacentral:rRNA from 1 species